rnacentral:rRNA from 1 species
CCUACGGGGCGCAGCAGUGAGGAAUAUUGGUCAAUGGCCGAGAGGCUGAACCAGCCAAGUCGCGUGAGGGAAGACGGCCCCACGGGUUGUAAACCUCUUUUGUCGGGGAGCAAAGCGAGUCACGUGUGACUCAUUGAGUGUACCCGAAGAAAAAGCAUCGGCUAACUCCGUGCCAGCAGCCGCGGUAAUACGGAGGAUGCGAGCGUUAUCCGGAUUUAUUGGGUUUAAAGGGUGCGUAGGCGGAGGUGCAAGUCCGCGGUAAAAUUGCGUGGCUCAACCCCGU